UCGGUAUCCUCAUCUGUACUCGU
rnacentral:miRNA from 1 species